rnacentral:rRNA from 1 species
UACGAAGGGGGCUAGCGUUGUUCGGAAUCACUGGGCGUAAAGCGCACGCAGGCGGAUUGAUAAGUCGGGGGUGAAAUCCCGGGGCUCAACCUCGGAAUUGCCUUCGAUACUGUCUGUCUUGAGUCCGGGAGAGGUGAGUGGAAUUCCUAGUGUAGAGGUGAAAUUCGUAGAUAUUCGGAAGAACACCAGUGGCGAAGGCGGCUCACUGGCCCGGUACUGACGCUGAGAUGCGAAAGCGUGGGGAGCAAACAGG